AUGGAAGAAGAACCUCUAAUAUUUGCUGAAGAGGAGGCUGGUACUAGUAAGAAGAAGAAGAAGCGCAAACGCGAGACAAUAAAGCAGACUCAGUGCAAAGCGAAAAUGUUGGUGAAGCUGAUAGAUGGGCGAUGGGAGGUGACGCACUUUGUUCGUGACCACAAUCAUCCGCUCGUGAACAAACCUUCAUUGUCCAAAUACUUGAGAUCCCACCAAGGCAUCUCACCUGAUGAAAAGGAGUUUCUGCGCAUCUUGUAUAACUGCAACUUGACUACAGGACGUAUGAUGCAUGUAAUGGCAGAGUUCUAUGGAUCUGAGAUGAUGGUGCUAUUCGGACCAAAGGCAAUAACAAAUCUUUGUACAAGUUUCUGUAGAGAUGACACAAAGGAGGGUGAUCUGAUUGAGACAAUUGCGCACUUCAAGGAUAUACAAAAAAUAGAUCCAGACUUCUUCUAUAAGGUGAAAUAUGAUGAAGAGGACAGAGUUGUCAACAUAUUUUGGGUGGAUGGCUUAGCUCGAAAAGCUUAUGCGGAGGCGUACCACGAUUGCAUAUCAUUUGACACCACCUACAUGACCAACAUGUACAAUAUGCCGUUCGCGCCCUUCAUAGGAAUAAACCGACAUGGCCAAUCUUUCAUGCUGGGUUGCGCGUUUGUGAGGCAGGAGUUGGCAUCGAGCUUUGAUUGGGUCUUUGGAGCAUUCCUAGAGGCUAUGGAUGGCAAAUCUCCCGACAACUUCAUCACCGAUCAGGAUGGUGCAAUGAGGCAGUCAAUACAGAGCAUCUUUCCAACCACCGUGCACCGCUGUUGUCGAUGGCACAUCAUGAAAAAGGCUCAGGAAAAAGUUGGUUGGCUGUUGUGCCGGAAUCCAGGAGUCUCUGAUGAUUUCAACAAGUGUGUUGACUUCAGCUUCACUAUAGUCGAGUUUGAGUAG
rnacentral:rRNA from 1 species